GGGUCAGUAGGUUGGUCGUGCCACCGGUACGUACUGGUCUCACUGAUUCCUCCCUCCUGAAGAACCGUAAUGCCACUAAUUUGGUGUUGCGGGGAAACAGGACUGUUACUUUGAAAAAAUUAGAGUGUUUAAAGCAAGCUAACGCUUGAAUACAUUAGCAUGGAAUAAUGAAAUAGGACGAUCGAUCCUAUUUUGUUGGCUUCUAGGAUUGACGUA
rnacentral:rRNA from 1 species